AUUGAACGCUGGCGGCAGGCCUAACACAUGCAAGUCGGACGGUAGCACAGAGAGCUUGCUCUCGGGUGACGAGUGGCGGACGGGUGAGUAAUGUCUGGGGAUCUGCCCGAUAGAGGGGGAUAACCACUGGAAACGGUGGCUAAUACCGCAUAACGUCGCAAGACCAAAGAGGGGGACCUUCGGGCCUCUCACUAUCGGAUGAACCCAGAUGGGAUUAGCUAGUAGGCGGGGUAACGGCCCACCUAGGCGACGAUCCCUAGCUGGUCUGAGAGGAUGACCAGCCACACUGGAACUGAGACACGGUCCAGACUCCUACGGGAGGCAGCAGUGGGGAAUAUUGCACAAUGGGCGCAAGCCUGAUGCAGCCAUGCCGCGUGUAUGAAGAAGGCCUUCGGGUUGUAAAGUACUUUCAGCGGGGAGGAAGGCGAUGUGGUUAAUAACCGCGUCGAUUGACGUUACCCGCAGAAGAAGCACCGGCUAACUCCGUGCCAGCAGCCGCCGCAG
rnacentral:rRNA from 1 species